UACGUAGGGUGCAGGCGUUAAUCGGAAUUACUGGGCGUAAAGCGUGCGCAGGCGGUUUUGUAAGUCAGAUGUGAAAUCCCCCGGGCUUAACCUGGGAACUGCGUUUGAAACUACAAGGCUAGAGUGUGGCAGAGGGGGGUGGAAUUCCACGUGUAGCAGUGAAAUGCGUAGAGAUGUGGAGGAACACCGAUGGCGAAGGCAGCCCCCUGGGUUAACACUGACGCUCAGGCACGAAAGCGUGGG
rnacentral:rRNA from 1 species